rnacentral:tRNA from 1 species
GCCCCCGUGGCCCAACUGGCAGAGGCAUCCGACUUAAAAUCGGCGGGUUCCGGGUUCGAGUCCCGGCGGGGGCA